GAUGAACGCCAAGACGUGCCUAACACAUGCAAAUCGAAUGAAAAGAAUUAUUUAUUGUUUUCAUGGUGAACGGGUGAGUAAUACAUAAGAAUCAGCUUUUAGAUAAGGCAUAAAAGAGUAAUAUCUUGGUAAUUCCUUAUAUGCGCAGUAGUGCUUAAAAAGGGUAGUCCCGUCUAAAAACGAGCUUAUGCCUGAUUAGCUAGUUGGCGAGUUAAAAGCUCACCAAGGCGAAGAUCAGUAGCUGGCCUGAGAGGGCGGCCAGCCACAUUGGGACUGAGACACGGCCCAAACUCCUACGGGAGGCAGCAGUGGGGAAUCUUCUGCAAUGGGCGCAAGCCUGACAGAGCGGCGUCGUGUGAAGGAAGAAGGCCUUAAAUAGGUUGUAAACUUCUUUUACUGAGUAAUGAAUAAUGACAACGCAGUAAAAAAGUAUCGGCUAACUCCGUGCCAGCAGCCGCGGUAAU
rnacentral:rRNA from 1 species